AGCGUGAAGCUGUCAACAGGGCUAGUGCAUCAAUGGCGUGGGAGGGGUGAUGGGCGAGAGCCUGGUCUGGAGCCGAGAUACCACAGUGAUCAAUGCGGAUGGAACUCUGAUCAUUCAGCUCCCAAAAACUCUCUCUACUAGUUCAAUUCAAGAGUUCCCUGAGCCAUGAGCAGUGCUAGAGGCCUGGAGCAGAAGAGUGUGAGUUUAGCUGAUGACCACAUGUGUACAUACAUCAACAGCGACAGCCUGGUCUGAAACCAAAGUUACAUGCUGACUAUUUGCAGCUUCCAUGGCAAACAGGACUGAGCGACACUUGCAAAACUCUGGUACUAAAGCCUGCAGAAGGUGAAUGGCUUAUAGCGCUUUCCAUUGUUUCCUGGAAGGAGGAAAACUAAAGUUGGAUGGAAAGAGAUCAAAGAGAAAGGUCUGCAGAGAUCACAGUGCUGCUU